rnacentral:rRNA from 1 species
AACGAACGCUGGCGGCAUGCCUAACACAUGCAAGUCGAACGAGACCUUCGGGUCUAGUGGCGCACGGGUGCGUAACGCGUGGGAAUCUGCCCUUCGGUUGGGAAUAACUGAGAGAAAUUUCAGCUAAUACCUUAUAAUGUCUUCGGACCAAAGAUUUAUCGCCGAGGGAUGAGCCCGCGUAGGAUUAGGUAGUUGGUGGGGUAAUGGCCUACCAAGCCGACGAUCCUUAGCUGGUCUGAGAGGAUGAUCAGCCACACUGGGACUGAGACACGGCCCAGACUCCUACGGGAGGCAGCAGUGGGGAAUACUGGACAAUGGGCGAAAGCCUGAUCCAGCAAUGCCGCGUGAGUGAUGAAGGCCUUAGGGUUGUAAAGCUCUUUUACCCGGGAUGAUAAUGACAGUACCGGGAGAAUAAGCUCCGGCUAACUCCGUG